AGUCAUCUCAAGAAAUACUUGAACCUGGAAUCUAUGAGCUUUGAUCAGUGCCUCUGUUGAUAGAAUGUAAUCAUACAGAGUUGAGAACUUCAGCCUCAGAAAACACCUGAGAGCUCCUCACAAUAAUCUUCUUUUUUUGUCAGAAGUGACAAAGCAGAGAGGCGAGGACUGAAGCAGAAAGACAGCAAGACUUUCUACCAAAGAGUAUUAUGCAAGUU